rnacentral:lncRNA from 1 species
UACCUAGGAAGGACUUCUCAGUAAUUCCAUAUUCUCGGGUGUGCCAUAAACAUUUUCAACCUGAUGACCUCAUCUGGGAAACAUCAGCUUUCGAUGAAAAAAAUGGGAAAAUCAUUAAAGCUUCACUGCAGAGACCAAAACUAAAAGAAGGCGCUUUUCCUAGCAUAUUUGAUGGCUGUCCAUCGUAUUUAUCUUCACAAGCUGGUAGUUCGAGAAAAGUCCGAAUGAGAAAAAAACGGAACGAGAAGCAAACCUCAUGAUGAAAGCUAUUGCUCAUAGUAAAUUAUCAGCUGCUGAGUAUUAUAAAUCGAGGACAUUUUCAGACUUUAAUGAACUUUUAACCUGUUGUAUGCAAUAUAAAUUUUCUACAUUUUGGAACGUUGUGCACAAAGACAAUAUCUUGAUGUUUUUGAAUUUAAAAUGCACUGAUGGAUGUGUAAAAUUGCUUUAUGCAGUCCACAUUACUGCAGAUCUUUUAUUAUCUGUAUCGUUUCAAAAUAAGUUAUUGACUCAUAUCAGUAGUAAGUAUAAUGAGUUACCUAUAAAAGUAAGUAAUAUUAAUGAAAUUCAUGAAAUACUU